rnacentral:lncRNA from 1 species
GAGAGAAUUUUGAAAGAAAUAAAAAUAAAAGGUUUAGAAAACUCUAACUAGAAAAAUUGGAUUUUCAAUAUGGAUAAACCAAAAGAGAUUUUCAUCCUAAUUUUACACGAGACGUGCAUGCAUAUUCUAUGCAGAAAUAAAUCAUAAAAAAUAUUACGCAUGCUCUACUCAAAGAUGGUCAAGCUUGCAUUCUCCUCUGAGCUGUGCAAGUGGCUUCUCAUCUCUAGGUUCUCCAUUCUUCUCAUCAUUAGGUCAACCUUGGCCUCCAUGUUUGCAUUCUUCUUCACCGUUCUUCGCUGCUGCAUUUUCUUCAUUGAAUUACUCUACGUUCAGAAAAGAACAUGUACAAAACUUUUUAUUUUAUGCAUAGUUUAUCAAAU